rnacentral:rRNA from 1 species
GAUGAACGCUGGCGGCGUGCUUAACACAUGCCAGUCGAGCGGUGAAGCCAAGCUUGCUUGGUGGAUCAGUGGCGAACGGGUGAGUAACACGUGAGCAACCUGCCCUGGACUCUGGGAUAAGCGCUGGAAACGGCGUCUAAUACUGGAUAUGAGCCUCUUCCGCAUGGUGGGGGUUGGAAAGAUUUUUUGGUCUGGGAUGGGCUCGCGGCCUAUCAGCUUGUUGGUGAGGUAAUGGCUCACCAAGGCGUCGACGGGUAGCCGGCCUGAGAGGGUGACCGGCCACACUGGGACUGAGACACGGCCCAGACUCCUACGGGAGGCAGCAGUGGGGAAUGUUGCACAAUGGGCGAAAGCCUGAUGCAGCAACGCCGCGUGAGGGAUGACGGCCUUCGGGUUGUAAACCUCUUUUAGCAGGGAAGAAGCGAAAGUGACGGUACCUGCAGAAAAAGCGCCGGCUAACUACGUG